GGGGUUGUAGCUCAGUGGUAGAAUGCAUGCCUCGCAUGCAUGAGGCACUGGGUUCGAUCCUCAGCACCACA
rnacentral:tRNA from 1 species